rnacentral:rRNA from 1 species
GAUGAACGCUGGCGGCGUGCCUAAUACAUGCAAGUCGAGCGAACGGACGAGAAGCUUGCUUCUCUGAUGUUAGCGGCGGACGGGUGAGUAACACGUGGAUAACCUACCUAUAAGACUGGGAUAACUUCGGGAAACCGGAGCUAAUACCGGAUAAUAUUUUGACCCGCAUGGUUCAAAAGUGAAAGACGGUCUUGCUGUCACUUAUAGAUGGAUCCGCGCUGCAUUAGCUAGUUGGUAAGGUAACGGCUUACCAAGGCAACGAUGCAUAGCCGACCUGUGAGGGUGAUCGGCCACACUGGAACUGAGACACGGUCCAGACUCCUACGGGAGGCAGCAGUAGGGAAUCUUCCGCAAUGGGCGAAAGCCUGACGGAGCAACGCCGCGUGAGUGAUGAAGGUCUUCGGAUCGUAAAACUCUGUUAUUAGGGAAGAACAGAUGUGUAAGUAACUGUGCACAUCUUGACGGUACCUAAUCAGAAAGCCACGGCUAACUACGUG